UCAGUUCUCUAGAUGCUGGUAUUGGCAUUGAAAAAUGCAAAUUGGUCAAUCACUUUUUGUCACUUUGUUAAUACAUUUUCAGUGAAAAAAUGGAAAAAAAGUUUGUUUUUCCACAGUAAUUGCAGACACUCUGGAGGCAUUAUACUCUGGCUCUCCCUCUCAGAGCUUGUCUGAAGGUGAUCCUCUUCAGCUUGAGUGCCAGGUCUCCAGCCAGACUUUUCAACAUACUCAUCUGAUGGUCACCUGGUUUCUCCAUGGUGAAGAGGAUGAAAACCCCCGACCAAUCAUCACUCUGGACAGAGAUCUGACUGUAAAGCCAGGAGCUGGAUUUGAGGAUCGCUAUCGUGCUGGUCUUAUCAUCAUGGAUAAGGUGGAGGACACAACCUACAGACUGAAGAUGCCUCAAGUGCAGCAGUCAGACCAGGGGAAGUUCUUCUGCAAAGCCAUUGAGUGGAUCCAAGACCCAGACCAUUCCUAGACACAGAUUGCCCACAAAACCACCGCAGCAUGCGAUGUGGAGAUUAAACAAAUCGGCAGAGGAAGCCCUGCAGUCAUAAUAGUAACAGUGCUUUUCAUUAUUCUGCUUGCUGUGCUGGCAUUUUACCUCUACAGAUGUAAAAAACAACAGUUAGGGAUGUCUGGACUAAACAAUAUGGACCAUGAAAGUGGU